CCUACGGGCGGCAGCAGUGAGGAAUAUUGGUCAAUGGGCGCAAGCCUGAACCAGCCAAGUAGCGUGAAGGAUGACUGCCCUACGGGUUGUAAACUGCUUUUAUACAGGAAUAAAGCGCGUCACGUGUACCUUUUUGUAUGUACUUUAUGAAUAAGGAUCGGCUAACUCCGUGCCAGCAGCCGCGGUAAUACGGAGGGUCCGGGCGUUAUCCGGAUUUAUUGGGUUUAAAGGGUGCGUAGGCGGGCUGUUAAGUGUGCGGGGAAAUGCCCGGGCUCAACCCCGGCCUAGCAGUGGAAACUGGCUGUCUUGAGAUGGCGGGAGGUAUGCGGAAUGCGUAGUGUAGCGGUGAAAUGCUUAGAUAUGGCGAAGAACUCCGAUUGCGAAGGCAGCAUACUGGCGGCGAUCUGACGCUGAGGCACGAAAGCGCGGGUAUCGAACAGGAUUAGAUACCCUAGUAGUC
rnacentral:rRNA from 1 species